AUAAAUUUUUCACAUCACUCUGAACCUGAACCCUAGCUGCCAGCCUCUUGCUGGAGAAGAAGAACCAGUUGCCGGAGAAAAGAGCUUACUGCCGCCACACAGGAGCCACCUACGACCGUCAAAAAAGGUAAAAAUUUUCUUACUCGCUCGGAAUUCAAUUUCGAGCACUCCUGUGGCCAUAUCAUAGCAAAACAAAUGGCGAGUGAGCCGAAAAUUACGGGCAAAGCUCGGCAGAGCCACUGUGGGCAAAACUCACAACCGCCUUUGAUGAGCCCCUUCCUGUUUUCCGUUCCGUACGAUUUUUUCACUAUUGUGUUCACUAUUCUACUUUCUACCGAUUGACCAAAGAAAAACUCUCAGCCGUAAAGG
rnacentral:lncRNA from 1 species